rnacentral:rRNA from 1 species
UAGAGUUUGAUCCUGGCUCAGAUUGAACGCUGGCGGUAACUUUUAAACAUGCAAGUCGAGCGGUAACAGACAUAAAGAUUCAGCUUGCUGAAUCCGGUGCUGACGAGCGGCGAACGGGUGAGUAACGCGUAGGAAUCUACCCAGUAGCGGGGGAUAGCCCGAGGAAACUCGGAUUAAUACCGCAUACGCCCUGAGGGGGAAAGGGGGCAAUUUAUUGCUCUCACUAUUGGAUGAGCCUGCGUAAGAUUAGCUUGUUGGUAGGGUAAUGGCCUACCAAGGCGACGAUCUUUAGCUGGUCUGAGAGGACGAUCAGCCACAUUGGGACUGAGACACGGCCCAGACAUCUACGGAUGGCAGCAGUUAAGAAUAUUGGACAAUGGGGGCAACCCUGAUCCAGGUAUACCGCGUGUGUGAAGAAGGCCCUAGGGUUGUAAAGCACUUUAAUCAGUGAAGAAGCAUUUUAAGUUAAUACCUUAAUUUGUUGACGUUACCUGAAGAAUAAGGACCGGCUAACUCCGUGCCAGCAGCCGCGGUAAUACGGAGGGUCCAAGCGUUAAUCGGAAUUACUGGGCGUAAAGCGCGCGUAGGCGGUUUAGCAAGUUGUAUGUGGAAGCCCUGGGCUCAACCUAGGAACUGCAUCCAAAACUACUAAGCUAGAGUACGAGAGAGGAGAGUAGAAUUUCUGGUGUAGCGGUGAAAUGCGUAGAUAUCAGAAGGAAUACCAAUGGCGAAGGCAGCUCUCUGGCUCGUCACUGACGCUGAGGUGCGAAAGCGUGGGUAGCAAACAGGAUUAGAUACCCUGGUAGUCCACGCCGUAAACGAUGACAACUAACCGUUGGGCAGAUUUAACUGUUCAGUGGCACAGCUAACGCAUUAAGUUGUCCGCCUGGGGAGUACGGCCGCAAGGCUAAAACUCAAAUGAAUUGACGGGGGCCCGCACAAGUGGUGGAGCAUGUGGUUUAAUUCGAUGCAACGCGAAGAACCUUACCAAUCCUUGAAAUCUAGCGAGGUUCGCAGAGAUGUGAAUGUGCCUUCGGGAACGCUAUGACAGGUGUUGCAUGGCUGUCGUCAGCUCGUGUCGUGAGAUGUAUGGUUAAGUCCAGUAACGAGCGCAACCCCUAUCCUUAUUUGCCAGCGCGUAAUGGCGGGAACUAUAGGGAGACUGCCGGGUGAAACCCGGAGGAAGGCGGGGACGAGGUCAAGUCAUCAUGGCCCUUAUGGAUUGGGCUACACACGUGCUACAAUGGGAAGUACAGAGGGAUGCGAAAGCGCGAGCUGGAGCCAAACCCUUAAAACUUUUCUUAGUCCGGAUUGGAGUCUGCAACUCGACUCCAUGAAGUCGGAAUCACUAGUAAUCGCGAAUCAGAAUGUCGCGGUGAAUACGUUCUCGGGCCUUGUACACACCGCCCGUCACAUCAUGGAAGUGGGUUGCACCAGAAGUGGUUAGUCUAACCUUCGGGAAGACGAUCACCACGGUGUGAUUCAUGACUGGGAUGAAGUCGUAACAAGGUAACCA